GACGAACGCUGGCGGCGUGCUUAACACAUGCAAGUCGAACGGAAAGGCCCUGCUUUUGUGGGGUGCUUGAGUGGCGAACGGGUGAGUAACACGUGAGUAACCUGCCCUUGACUUUGGGAUAACUUCAGGAAACUGGGGCUAAUACCGGAUAGGAGCUCCUGCUGCAUGGUGGGGGUUGGAAGUUUCGGCGGUUGGGGAUGGACUCGCGGCUUAUCAGCUUGUUGGUGGGGUAGUGGCUUACCAAGGCUUUGACGGGUAGCCGGCCUGAGAGGGUGACCGGCCACAUUGGGACUGAGAUACGGCCCAGACUCCUACGGGAGGCAGCAGUGGGGAAUAUUGCACAAUGGGCGGAAGCCUGAUGCAGCAACGCCGCGUGCGGGAUGACGGCCUUCGGGUUGUAAACCGCUUUCGCCUGUGACGAAGCGUGAGUGACGGUAAUGGGUAAAGAAGCACCGGCUAACUACGUG
rnacentral:rRNA from 1 species